rnacentral:rRNA from 1 species
AACGAACGCUGGCGGCAUGCCUAAUACAUGCAAGUCGAACGAGAUCUUCGGAUCUAGUGGCGCACGGGUGCGUAACGCGUGGGAAUCUGCCCUUGGGUUCGGAAUAACUUCGGGAAACUGAAGCUAAUACCGGAUGAUGACGUAAGUCCAAAGAUUUAACGCCCAAGGAUGAGCCCGCGUAGGAUUAGCUAGUUGGUAAGGUAAAGGCUUACCAAGGCGACGAUUCUUAGCUGGUCUGAGAGGAGGAUCAGCCACACUGGGACUGAGACACGGCCCAGACUCCUACGGGAGUCAGCAGUAGGGAAUAUUGGACAAUGGGGGCAACCCUGAUCCAGCAAUGCCGCGUGAGUGAUGAAGGCCUUCGGGUUGUAAAGCUCUUUUACCCGGGAUGAUAAUGACAGUACCGGGAGAAUAAGCCCCGGCUAACUCCGUGCCAGCAGCCGCCGUAA